AUCUGCCUAGUAGUGGGGGACAACAUGUGGAAACGCAUGCUAAUACCGCAUACGCCCUACGGGGGAAAGGAGGGGAUCUUCGGACCUUUCGCUAUUAGAUGAGCCUGCGUGAGAUUAGCUAGUUGGUGGGGUAAAGGCCUACCAAGGCGACGAUCUCUAGCUGGUCUGAGAGGAUGAUCAGCCACACUGGGACUGAGACACGGCCCAGACUCCUACGGGAGGCAGCAGUGGGGAAUAUUGGACAAUGGGCGCAAGCCUGAUCCAGCCAUGCCGCGUGUGUGAAGAAGGCCUUAGGGUUGUAAAGCACUUUCAGGAGUGAGGAAGGGUAUGCAGUUAAUACCUGUAUAUUUUGACGUUAACUCCAGAAGAAGCACCGGCUAACUCUGUGCCAGCAGCCGCGGUAAUACAGAGGGUGCGAGCGUUAAUCGGAAUUAC
rnacentral:rRNA from 1 species